rnacentral:rRNA from 1 species
AGUGAACGCUGGCGGCAGGCCUAACACAUGCAAGUCGAACGGUAGCACAGAGGAGCUUGCUCCUUGGGUGACGAGUGGCGGACGGGUGAGGAAUAUAUCGGAAUCUACCCUUUCGUGGGGGAUAACGUAGGGAAACUUACGCUAAUACCGCAUACGAACUGAGGUUGAAAGCGGCGGACCGCAAGGCGUCGCGCGGAUGGAUGAGCCGAUAUCCGAUUAGCUAGUUGGCGGGGUAAAGGCCCACCAAGGCGACGAUCGGUAGCUGGUCUGAGAGGAUGAGCAGCCACAGUGGAACUGAGACACGGUCCAGACUCCUACGGGAGGCAGCAGUGGGGAAUAUUGGACAAUGGGCGCAAGCCUGAUCCAGCCAUGCCGCGUGUGUGAAGAAGGCCCUCGGGUUGUAAAGCUCUGUCAGUGGGAACGAAUAAGUCGAUUAAUAACCGAUGAUGACGGUACCCGCAAAGGAAGCACCGGCUAACUCUGUGCCAGCCGCCGCCGUAA